rnacentral:rRNA from 1 species
GAAUGAACGCUGGCGGCGCGCCUAAUACAUGCAAGUCGAGCGAGAAGACGUAGCAAUACGUUUGUAAAGCGGCGAACGGGUGAGGAAUACAUGGGUAACCUACCCUAGAGUGGGGAAUAACUAGCCGAAAGGUUAGCUAAUACCGCGUACGCUCCUUGGACUUCGGUUCAGGGAGGAAAGCGAUGCCGAGGGUAUCGCGCUCUUGGAUGGGCUCAUGUCCUAUCAGCUUGUGGUGAGGUAACGGCUCACCAAGGCUUCGACGGGUAGCUGGUCUGAGAGGACGAUCAGCCACACUGGCACUGCGACACGGGCCAGACUCCUACGGGAGGCAGCAGUAAGGAAUAUUGCGCAAGUGGGCGAAAGCCUGACGCAGCGACGCCGCGUGGGGGA